CAAUAGCGUAUAUUAAAGUUGUUGCAGUUAAAAAGCUCGUAGUUGGAUUUCUGGCAGGAGCACGGGUCGGCCCUCACGGGUUGUACUGUUGUUGCGUCCUGCCGUUUCGGAGGGAAUGGUCUCGCUAUUAGGUUAGUGGGGUCGGGAACUCUGUCGUUUACUGUGAAAAAAUUAGAGUGUUCAAAGCAGGCCUUCGCUGUGAAUACAUUAGCAUGGAAUAAUAAGAUAGGACUAUGGUGCUAUUUUGUUGGUUUGCGUACUAUGGUAAUGAUUAAUAGGGAUAGUUGGGGGUAUUCAUAUUCAAUUGUCAGAGGUGAAAUUCUUGGAUUUAUGGAAGAUGAACUACUGCGAAAGCAUUUACCAAGGAUGUUUUCAUUAA
rnacentral:rRNA from 1 species